GCCUUUUCAUUGAGUAAAAGAGGAGCCUAAUAAUGAGUAUCCUUAAGAACCUCUUCAUUCUUUUGGUGGGCGUUUCGGUCGUGAAUACCUUGGUAACUUACCAUGAUGCCAGAGAUAGGAUUGCAACCACCAAGAUACACACGAAAUGGUUUGCGUUGGAUUAUUCUACUAUUGGAGGAUAUUGGUUAACUUGGAGUGAAAAAAUUUAUGAAUAUUCUUCAGAUAGAACAAUAUGCCAUUAUGAAGAUAAAAACCUAGCUCCUAAUAGCACUGUAGCGGUGGGUUUUACGAUGAAGCCGAGAGCUUAUUGUGGAAUUCUUAGUUGUAUUUUAUAUAACAAUAGGCCAACAGCUCAGCUUAUUUACUGCCAAGAGCCAGCCACUUUCGCUGAGUGCGAAACUGAUGGCAUAGAUACGGAGAUGAAAUACCCCGAAUGUUGCUGGAAGUGCGUCAAGUAUAAAGACUGUUAGCUCUGAGGAGGGGCUAAUAUUUUUAUUCCUGUUCAGAUCGACCGUAAUUAUAUCAUAUCAUAAUGAGUGCUGGUGACGGGAUCUUUAUUUUGUAAAAUGCGAAAAUAAAUAUUAAACUACUCAUUUA